rnacentral:pre_miRNA from 1 species
UAAAAGUUAACUGUGUAUGAAGUUGGAACAUUUGCCUACGUUUGCCGCUAGGGGCGCUGCGCUGUCCCAACUGCAUACCUACUUUGAGUUA